rnacentral:rRNA from 1 species
UACGGGGGGGGCAAGCGUUGUUCGGAAUUACUGGGCGUAAAGGGCUCGUAGGCGGCCCUCUCAGUCGGAUGUGAAAUCCCCAGGCUUAACCUGGGAACGGCAUCCGAUACUGGAGGGCUUGAAUUCGGGAGAGGGAUGCAGAAUUCCAGGUGUAGCGGUGAAAUUCGUAGAUAUUCGGAAGAACACCAGUGGCGAAGGCGGGCUCUG